UACGUAGGGUGCAAGCGUUGUCCGGAAUUAUUGGGCGUAAAGAGCUCGUAGGCGGUCUGUCACGUCGGCUGUGAAAUCCCGAGGCUCAACCUCGGGUCUGCAGUCGAUACGGGGCAAACUAGAGUAUUGCAGGGGAGACUGGAAUUCCUGGUGUAGCGGUGAAAUGCGCAGAUAUCGGGAAGAACACCCCGUGGCGAAGGCGGCUCUCUGGAACGCAACUGACGCUGAGACGCGAAAAGCGUGGGGGAGCAAAACAGG
rnacentral:rRNA from 1 species